CCUCGGGGCGGCGGCGGCGGCGGACGCGGCCUGAGGGAGCGGCCGGCUGCCGCCUCGCCCGCCGCGGGGUCCAUGGCCUGAGCGGCCAUGUCCGGCGUGGUGCGGACCCUCAGCCGCUGCCUGCUGCCGGCCGAGGCCGGCGGGGCCCGCGAGCGCAGGGCGGGCGGCGGCGGGGCCCGCGACGCGGAGCGCGAGGCGCGGCGGCGCAGCCGGGACAUCGACGCGGGGCUGGCCCGCGAGCGGCGCGCCGUGCGGCGCCUCGUCAAGAUCCUGCUGCUGGGCGCGGGCGAGAGCGGCAAGUCCACCUUCCUCAAGCAGAUGCGCAUCAUCCACGGCCGUGAGUUCGACCAGAAGGCGCUGCUCGAGUUCCGCGACACCAUCUUCGACAACAUCCUUAAGGGCUCAAGGGUUCUGGUUGAUGCACGAGACAAGCUUGGUAUUCCUUGGCAGUAUUCCGAAAAUGAGAAGCACGGGAUGUUCCUCAUGGCCUUUGAGAACAAAGCGGGGCUGCCCGUGGAGCCUGCCACCUUUCAGCUAUACGUACCUGCUCUGAGCGCGCUCUGGAGGGAUUCUGGCAUCAGGGAAGCUUUCAGCCGGAGGAGCGAGUUUCAGCUGGGUGAAUCAGUGAAGUACUUCCUGGAUAACUUGGACCGGAUUGGCCAGCUGAAUUACUUUCCUAGCAAGCAGGACAUCCUGCUGGCGAGGAAGGCCACCAAGGGCAUCGUGGAGCAUGACUUUGUCAUCAAAAAAAUCCCUUUCAAGAUGGUGGAUGUGGGCGGCCAGCGGUCUCAGCGCCAGAAGUGGUUCCAGUGCUUUGAUGGGAUCACGUCGAUCCUGUUCAUGGUCUCGUCCAGUGAGUACGACCAGGUCCUCAUGGAAGACAGGCGCACCAACCGCCUGGUGGAGUCCAUGAACAUCUUUGAGACCAUCGUUAACAACAAGCUCUUCUUCAACGUCUCCAUCAUCCUGUUCCUCAACAAGAUGGACCUCCUGGUGGAGAAAGUAAAGACUGUCAGCAUCAAGAAGCACUUCCCAGACUUCAAGGGUGACCCCCACAGGCUGGAGGACGUCCAGCGCUACCUGGUCCAGUGUUUCGACCGGAAGAGACGGAAUCGCAGUAAGCCACUCUUCCACCACUUCACCACCGCCAUAGACACCGAGAACAUCCGCUUCGUGUUUCACGCUGUGAAGGACACCAUCCUGCAAGAGAACCUGAAGGAUAUUAUGUUGCAGUGAAGGAGGACGCCCCUCACUCUUGUGGUCCUUCAGCAGCCUCGCCGGCCACAGGCCAGAUCUCCCCAGUGCCCCGGAGCGGGUUUCCCGAAUCCGUGCCCUCAACACCUGGCUCAGGGAUGCCGUGAGGCCUGCCACGCUCUAGGCCAAAGGACGUGACACUUAGAUGUUAGCUACUGAAUCCUGGGGACUAGUGAAACUACUGAAAAUCCAAGCGAUCACUUUGGUAUUAAUGUGUAAUGCUUAAUAACACAGCUUUCUUUCUUUUUACAGAAACUAUUCCUUCUCUGACACAAUGUAAUCGAGGACUGCGUGUGUGUGCGCGCACACUCUGUCUUUAAUGACAGAAACACGAAAACCGACAUCUUUGCAGAUGGCUUUUCUCUCUAACUCGAGAGUGCUUGGUUCAUUACUUGUCGAUCACAGUUUUUAUUUCCACCUGGGACACAGGAGCGCUGUCACUGAGUGGAUGCCUCUAGAACACGACUUCAGGACAAGGAACGGGGCAAAUACAUGUAAAGACACGUGUGUGUGUGAAGGAGGGAUCCUGCUGCCCUGAGACCUGGGGGCCCGAGGAGAGGACCUGGUGAUGGACGUGGAUGUGGCCAGAGACAGGAGGCUGGGGCAAGCCCAAGGGAAGGCAAGGGUGGGAACUCUUUUCUCCGCAACCCCGUGGGGUGACCGUCCCCAUCACAAAACGAAGAAACCUCUGAUGCAAAGUGCGAAUGCUUCCCAGCCGACGGAGCUCGUGGCGCUCAGGAUUCUCUUGUAGAAAAGGCACGUAUGUAUUGUCCAGUGGCCAUCACCCGGGUAGGCGUUGUGUGCGUCCACAUGUGGGGAAGGCAGAACUGCCCCCCCCCACCCCCAGAGAAACUUGUACUCGUCAUUAUCCACGUGGCUGAGGGCUAAGGUCUUUGAGUUCCAGUUUCCCCAUUUGUAAAAGUUGGAUCAGAUCACGAUGCUCGGCUCUGGCGCCGCAGUCAGGUCACCUGAGGGGCUUUGCAAAGCCCUGGGCUGAGCCACCCAGAACCUGUGCAGUACAGCAUCACGUGGACGCACUCCUGGUUUCCCAGGUGGUUGCUGUGCAGCCGGGGUCACAGGCCAUGAAGCAGAGGACCAUGGAGGACUCCCUCCAGGCCGCUGGAAUUGUGGUCCACAACGUGCUGGCCCCCGAAUCCUCCCCUUGCUGUGACCUACGACCUGCCUCAGGAAGAAAGUGAUGCUGGCUUUUCUGUUGUGGUUUAAGUGAAGAGCAGAAGUUCCCACUAAGCCUUCAGCAGCAUGUCGGGUGGUCCUUUCAGGCCUGUUGACGCCACCUUCUCCGUAAGGUACAUCAGAUGCGCUCAGCAACCUCAUUCCUCAGUGAUGCCCGGAACUUUAGAGAGCUCUGCUUGAAGGAGAGGACGAGCCCUUUUACAGUCUGCCUGGUGGCGCUAGGGAGAGGUGGGCCUUGCGUGUGGGAUCCCUGCGUUUCACGGACUCGGCAUUCGGGGCGGGCGCAGGCCCUGGUGCCAAGGUUGGUGCUGGGCCUGCAGCUGGCGGGGGGCUGACAGCUCAGCCCCCCUGAGCAAGGGCUGCUUUUACUGACUGCGUUUGUGAGGCACCUGCUGGGCCCUGAAGAGGGUGGUGGCGGGUCCCCAGAGGAAGGAGCUGCUUGGUUAAGGCGGCUCAGAGGCUGGCACUCGCUGUGUUGACAGCCCUUAACGGCAGGUGGCACGCGGUCCGUGCUGAGUUCAGGGAAGGGGAAGGCUCGCUGUGGGUGGAGGGGAGCCCCUGGGGCGUGGAAGGGCCACUCCGCUUCCUCGGUCCCACUCUUGGUGUGUGGUUCCUACCUUCUGCUGGAGGAGGACUUCACGGCACGCGAGGCCCAGCUACUCGUGUGGGCCCGCCCUCUCCUGCCAGGUCCCGCCCUCCGGAACCUGCUGGAACUAGAGGCUGGGUGUUCGCUGGCGCGCAGGAUGGCACUGAAAUAGGUGGUUUCGGUUUCCACACCAUGUUGGCGCCUCUUCAGGUGAAAACCUACUUCAAAGCACAACAGGUUGCUACCUGCCAGAAGCACCCCCAGUGCCCGCCUCUCGCUGGAUGGCAUGGGAUGCGCCACACCCAGAGCGGCUCCUCGGUGUGGACCACACACCUGCAGGGGUUCUGCUGACCCUGACGGUGGUCGUGAGCCCCUAGGAGAGCGGAGCGCUGCUCAGCGUGGGAACUUGCUACGCGAGCCUCCCGCCCCAGGUCACCGCAGGAAGGAGUGGGAUGUUGCCAGCCCGAGUGAGUUCUCAAGCAUCCUAGCAGGAUGGAUGUUCCCGGGAAUCGGCGUCUGAGUACAGCAAGAGGUAGGAAAUGGGGUGGAACUCAGAAACAGACCGUGAGAUUCCUGCCCCAAACGCAGAACUCGUAGGGCAGCAGGCCCUCCCCGGCAGCCUGCGAUUAGGGUGUGGAGUAGCUGAGAACAGGCAGGAACUGCUCUUGUGUCCCACCCGACCUAUGACGCCUCCCUCCUCCUCAGAUCCAGCGAGGACCUUGGCACGUCGCUGUGAGGUGCUUAUUAUAGGGACCUGAAGACUUGCUGUAAACGCGGCCCCGUGGCUUGCUUCACUCCCCCUGGAAACUGGGUUUUCCACUUCCAAGCUGGUUGUGAAGGUAGUGUUUUUAUUCCGGAGGUUUUCUUUGUGUGUGUGUAACACAAACCACAGUGAAACACUAGAGCAGCUACUAGGGGUUCCUGGACCAGCCCACGUUUCCUCCCGGGCAGGCAGCCGGCACUCUGAUUGCGCGGCCGGCGGGUGUCGACGGGGCUGAGCCGCGCGGGCUCACAGUCGUCCUGAUCUGUCUGUUCCAGGCUUGUCAUCGGGCGCCUUUUUAUUAACACAGUUUAUUUUGUGCUUUCAAAAGCCGAGUGAUUCCCCCAAAUGAACAUCACCGCAGCUGUUCACAGUCAAGGUGGAGGUUCCCCGCGGGACCGCAUUUCCCGGCAGCUUGCAGAGCCAGACCGCUCUGGUGGCCCAGGCGGUGUGGGCACUGGGGAGGGGUGGACCGCGCAUUCCGCCUGGUGAGGCUGACCCGGAGUCUGGCCGAGAGAAGUCCAAUGUAGGGGCAGCUGAGAGCAUGACCCUUGUGAGUCGGGGGAAACAGGCCCUCCGCUGUGGGUUCUGCUGCUUCCCGGUGCUGGUCCAGGGGCCCAGCUCUUCAGCCGACUUCAGAAUUUCUCCAGUCGGGAAGGAACUGAGAAUGGGGUUCCGGGAGGCCCCACCCUGAGUGGCAACUGGCCAGGUGUGCUGCCGCAGCAGCCUGGGCGCUUUACAGCAUCUCACGGGACUGCCACGCGCCUUGCAGCUGAACCCUCUGCCCUGGGGCCUUAGCCCCUCUGCUCAGGGCCCGGCCCCCGGGGACGCCCCCCGCAGCCUUGGGGGACGCAGGAGGUCUCCUCACCACCGUCUGUCCGGCUGUCUUCUAAAGAGGUCCGUGCCCACGCCGGGCAGAGAGCACUGUCACCUAGAAGACUCUGGAACUCAGGUCACAAACGUGGAACCAGCCUUGAUCUGACAGUCGGGCUAACCAAGCCGGUUCUCUGUGGCUUCCCUCUUCACCCAAGCUUUCUGGACGAGCCUGGGCACCUUUUCCAGGUUCACUGGCAAACAGGUGGCCAGAGCUCUCACUGUGGAGUCUGUGGAAGCCGGGGCCAAGGCCUGUCCCAGGAGGGCUCACGGGCACCCAGUGAAACUUUCUGACCGUCAUCUUAACUGUUAGAUUCUCUAACAAGCCUGUUUAUCAAGAAAUUUAAAAGAGAUCUCUAUUGAGUCUGCCCAUUUCUAGGAUCUUAAAGCAUUACCUUUUGACCUGUUAAUGCAAAUGGCAAAACAUUCCAAGUGUCUUUUCCUUCAGUCCAUUCGAAGCAGCUAAAAUUGGCAGGCAUGUUAUUCUAUGUUGACACGAGCGCAGCCAGGAAGUUCAGUGUUGUGUGCUCGGCCCCCUCCGCUCUGCCACGUCCUCAGCUCACCUCCUCAGUGCUGUGCUGUGGCCCCUGUAGGGCGUGGGGGACCCCGUGGCGGGGCAGGGCUGUGGGGAUAAUCUGCUGCGGCAGCGGCGGCAGAAACAGCUCUGAGCUCUCCCGGGCUCGCUCCACUCGGAAAGGAAGUUCAAGGGCCACAGCCGAGUGCUGGGCCACGGGCGCCGCCCCUGGGGUGUCACUGCAGCUCCACACCCCUUCCCUCCCCCCCAUAAUGGCACCAACAGCGGGGACAGGCCUCGGUUUACAGAUGCUGUGUUCCAGGUUAAGAGAUACAUGAUGCAGUGUAAAAAGUGUAUUGUAUAGCUACGGGGGUUAGUUUAACAUGUUUUGUAUAUACGACUUUUAUAAAUCUAUUAAAACUUGCCGUAAAUUACA